rnacentral:rRNA from 1 species
AUUGAACGCUGGCGGCAGGCCUAACACAUGCAAGUCGAGCGAGCGGCGGACGGGUGAGUAAUGUAUGGGGACUGCCCGAUAGAGGGGGAUAAACACUGGACACGGUGUCUAAUCCCGCAUACUAUCGGAUAACCCAUAUGGGAUUAGCGAGUAGGGGGGGUAACGGCUCACCUAGGCGACGAUCCCUAGCUGGUCUGAGAGGAUGACCAGCCACACUGGAACUGAGACACGGUCCAGACUCCUACGGAGGCAGCAGUGGGGAAUAUUGCACAAUGGGCGCAAGCCUGAUGCAGCCAUGCCGAGUGUAUGAAGAAGGCCUUCGGGUUGUAAAGUACUUUCAGCGGGGAGGCGUUACCCGAAGAAGAAGCACCGGCUAACUCCGUGCCAGCAGCCGCGGUAAUAC